rnacentral:lncRNA from 1 species
UAAUAUUGUAAAGGCGAAUUUUGUUGUUACAUACAGCUCAGCUCAAUCGGUCCUUUCUGUUGACCUGCAUCCAGUUUAAUUUUGGAACACAAAAUCUAUUGUUGAAUCUUUCUGCUCAUAAUGGUUUUCGAGAUCACGCUGAUCCCGCAAGGCUGGGUCAAGUCUGGAAAUUCGAGACAUAGUCACAUAGCGCAACCACAUGUAGCUCUCCUGCGUGUUCUAGAAAAUAGAAGGAUUUGGAUAAGAUAUUACCCUAAUUUGUAUAUUAUUAUUUGGACAAACAUUCUUCACUUAAAUUGUGGAGAAGGUGACUUAUGUUGCUAACCCAGGAAUCAAAGUUAAGGUCACCAUCUUAAGAGUACUUCAUACUAUGUGUUGAGUCCCACAGAUCUUAUCACUAUGCUUAAUUCAAAUUUUAGGUUUGUUAGUAACCGCUAGUCGGUUGAAAUUUGAAACAUGAAGACAAAUUAAAGUGUAUAGAAAAUGAAUCCUCAAACAAUUUCUUCUGGUUAGAUUUCCUUUUAUCUUUUCUCCAAAAUGUACCAAUCCUUUCAUUAGACCCACACUAUUCGCUGCAUAUAUAACAAUUAAAGAAGCGCCAGUUCAUCAAAACUAAUUCAUUCCACAGCCC